rnacentral:lncRNA from 1 species
GGGUCCUCCUGCUGGGCUUUUCCAGGGCCGGUUUUCCCCCUUGGAACUUCCAGCCUCUGGAUUUCUGCCGGCCUGCCUGCCAGGGCCCUGACUCAGGCCGGGACUCCCCCCCGGCCAGCUGCCCUUGACCCCGGGGGCUCCCCCGCAGCGAGGCAGCCCCGCCCCCACCCCGCCCGGGGCCGCGCCGCGCCGACGGUGGCUCCGCUGGCAGUUCCCGGAAACUCCUCGAUUUCACGGUCCGAGCGGGCUUUGCAAGAAACCGAAACCGCAGCCAGAGGCGCAGGAUCGAGGCGCGCCACCACAGGGCGGGGGAGGAGUGGCUCCCGCCGUGCCAGGCGCCUCGGGGCGCCGACCGGAAAACCGGCCCCGGAGCCCAGCCGGAGGGGGCGGGAAACCCGAUGUCUUCUGGACCUGCCCCUCCAUUUUACAGAUGAGGAAACUGAGGCCCGGGGAGACGGACCCGCUUUUCCCCCUCUGUGAAACACUGGCCUGAGCCCUUCCCAGUGCGAAGAAGCGGUUAAGUUUGGGGGAAUCCACCGUCCUGUUUCUCCCCAGGCUUGACCCGCGAAAAUGGAAAUCAUCCAAACUCCUUCCUCGGCGAUCCAUCUUUCAUAUGCAUCAAGUCCGACUCCUGUGCCUCCUCCCCUUUGUCCGUGCUUUAGGGAGGAGGGAAAAGGCCCUCAAACUGAAAUCAGCCCAGUUAUAACCUCGGAAGCUUCCUCACGCGGACUCCUCCCUAGGCGCUCUCCUCCCCACCCCCUCCCCCCUUUCUGGUGGGAAAUCAGCCGCUUCCCUUACAAAGCCGGGGAGAGUGGCUGAAUGCGCGAGGGGCCAAAAAAAGACUUUUUGCUCGAGAAAUCGUAUUGCAACAUAAGGAAUAGUCAAACUUCACUCUCCCCGAUCAUUCCAAAUUCACUUAGUUCUCCUUGUUCCGAGUACAUUCACCCACUGCCAAUAGGUCAGGAAUGCAAGCCAACGUUAGUGCCGUUGUGUCUCCCUGUGAGAAUGUGACCGUCUCAGAGGCCGGCCUUUUUCCUCUCAAAAAGGCAUUUACAAGAAAGGAAAACCUGCUCUCCUUAGCUCCCACUCUAACUUCUUAUCAAGAGCUCUAAUGUCUAAAUUUUGUUCUUAAAAAUAGUUCUUUUUUUAAAAAAUAAAUAGGUUUGAUUUUUUUUCCCUGAAAAA